rnacentral:lncRNA from 1 species
AUAUUCUUUCACAGGCAAGCAAGGACCCAGGGCUGUGCUCAAGCUGGGCUACAAGGGCUGGACCAGGGUCUGGGGUUGGGCAUAGGUUGGGCUGACUUGCAGUUGCUGGCCUUGGAGAAAGGAGAAGCAAAGCCACUGUGAUUGGAGGAAGGAGAUUCAGGAAGCAAGGACAGCUCUUAGUGUCAGUUCCAAUGGUUGGGUAUGAGAAAGAGGGAGUAAAAACUGGGGCUUCAAGAAGGCAGGGACUAUAGUUGUAUUUCCUCCCAGUGUAUUCACAGUGCAUCUGGUUCACCAAAGGUAAGAUCAACCAUUGCUGAACUUAACAAUUUGCUUCCUCCCUUUGUAGUCAAUUGUGGUGAUAUCUCUAAAUGCACAUAUUAUUUUACACCAAGUAUUUGAGCAUUGUCUGGGAAUCAGGUGUUUAUUCCACUUUGGAGUAUUUCUUCAUGUAUUUUUUGCCUUCUCUAUGACAUUUUAAACCCGUCUAACACACACAUGUACCUGUACUGCAUAGCAGGUACAACCACAGUCUCCUCUGGGGUUAGGCUGCCUGUUGCAUCUGUAAAAUGGAGCUAUCAAUAGUGAGAUCGACUAUGUAAAGCACUUAAAACUGCACCUGGUCUACAUUAAGUGCUCAAUAAACUUGAGCAAUUAUCAUGAUUAGUCACUAAUACAUGUGAGCGGUGUAGGUCUCACAGAUAUCUGUGACACAUUCCAAAACCCUCCUCACUUGUUCCUGAACUAUUCUUUUUUUAAACAGGAGUUGGCCCCAGCCCUGUUCUGAUCUGCAUGUUCUUUGUGAAGUCUGCCUUCAGCUCUUUUGGUCUAGUGUUAGGACUUUAUCUCCUAUGUGUCUGGCUUUCAGCUCUCUGUAAAUAUUGGCUUGGCCUAGUCCUGUAUUUCUUACCAUUCCAGAUGGCUUCAAGUAAGCUGUCAGUUCACAUCUGGCCUCUUGAAUUGCCACCUGGAAUCCCUGUUCUGACACUGUUGCACUGGUCAGCCCUCUAUCCAAGUGAAGUCGUCCCAGUGGUGCACUGGAGUGGAUUGCAACUGCUCAUGAGGGCCAACUGUUAAAAGCUACAGAAAUUUUGUAAGCUGGUCGUCAAACACAGCCACUAUUAAAAAUUAAAUGACUCUCAAGGUGACUUCAUCCAUGGCGGCUGUGUGGCAGCGAGCUACUUGCGCAUCUCUUCUGUUCCGUGAGGUCAUGUUGGCAGCUUGAAAUUGAUCAAGUGGGAAGCAUUUACAUCACAGAAAUUGAUACCAUGAAAGGAUUUGAGCGUUUUUUUAUGUGAAUCCAAAGAUGACAUUUACAAAAGGUGGAGAAGCAGUUCCCUACUGAGGGACGUGGAUACAAAAAGCAGAUGACACAACACAUCCCAUAGAGUUCCCAGGGAAGAAUGAACCCAGAUUCUUGACCUGCAGAGGUGGCGUACUGGCUGGAGAAAUCUCUGGCUGGCGACCGUGCUAUUCUGUCUGUCCACCUAACUGUGGGCUCCCAGAUCACCACUGCCAUGGGCAGGGGGCCGUGGGGUGGGCCUGCUUGGGGUGACAGGCUAGCUGUGCUCCCAUAGCAGAGGUGGGAGAAGGGAAUCACAUCUGGUGAGCAGCUAUGUCGUGCCAGGCACUGUGCUGUGUAUUGCACACAUCUCAAACCUUGUGACAAAUGUGUAAGAUAUUUUUUAUGUAUUACAAAUGAAGGAACUGGGCUCAGAAAAGCUCCAUUAUUUGCCCAAAUUGCAGCAGUAAUGCAGGAAUUUGAAUCCACAUUAAUCUGACUCCACAACCCAUGUUCUUUCACUGAAUUCCCAUAUCCUUGUUCCCCCUACUGUCCUCACUGGUCAAGGUGAGCUUGGUCUUCCACAAACAGGCUAGAAAAGUAUGCUUACUUAUCUUUAGCUUUAUGCUUUUAAACUAAUUCUUAAAAAUCUUCUCUGGAUAAGUCAAAGACAAUGGGAAUGUGUAUUUCUAAUACAUUAAUUAUAAUACAUUACCGGUUUACACAAUGCCAUCACCUUGUCAUUUUCUUUGACACAACGUCCCCCUCCCCUCUAGUUUAUAAAUGAGGACAUUGAGGCACAAAGUGGGUAAGUGACUUGCCCAAGGGGGAGAUUUGUCCAAUCAUAAAGAUGGGCCUGAACUUUUUCUACUUUGCAUUCUUACUUGAAAGGCAGGAAACAUAUGCUCAAGAGGGAGAUCUCACGAAAUUUCAUGUCAUAUAGUGCUCUCGCUAAUUUAAUCCUGUCAUUCCUGGUUAUAUCCCUUUGGAAAAACCACCACCAGUGCCUUCUCUUUUGAUAUAUUUACAGUAAAAAUAUUCCCUGUACAAACCAUCUCACUCUUUCACAGGGAACUGGCUUGGCCCUCUCCCCUGAAGUGGGUUGCACAUCCACCCAGCCCACCCCCAGCUCACUCUAGCUCCCUUCCUGUUAGAAUUUAUUCAGAACCUCCAUUUCUAGGAGGAAGCAAGGAGGGGGCAGUUAUCUUCGUGGACUUGGGUCCUCCUGGACCCUUUGUCCUCAUGGUUAUGUUUCAAACAGAGUUGAGGGCUCCCUAAAGGGGAAAGAUUAUUUAAGUUUUGUAAAUGCUGCCCUCCAAAAACCACUCCACAUAAAUGUUUCAUGGCUUAGCCUCUGUGAGGCCAGAGCUGGAACAUUCAGCUGUGAGGGUGUUUAUAUUUGUGGAACUCUCUUGAACAUUUGCUGUGGGUUUUAAACAGCUGCUAUGCUGAAGCUCUGGGGAUAGGAAGAUCAUGAAUAUUCAGGUGAAGCCACCAGAAUGAACAGCCGUUAAUAGAAUAAAUGCCUAAACAGUUGUGUAAGGCUUAUUAAGACCUAUUGGGGCUGAGAUAAUAAAUUCCCACUCUGACAUGUUGCAACUACUGUCGCUUAAACACUUUGGACCACCUCUUCUGAACUGAAGGAAAAAAUGAUGUUAGUUCUCUGCGCGAAUACAAAGAAACACCUGGAAGCCUUGGCAAGGGGAUGAGAUUUGGCAGAGAUCUUUCCGUGUACCGAUGCAUCCUCAGGAAAAUGAUGUGCCGCUCAUUGUUCCUGUUGUCAAGGUUAUCGCAGUCGACUUCAGGCUGGAACGGGCAUUGCUCUUGCACUGAAGAAAGUCUGUCCUGACUCCCUCAGAGUGCCUCAACAUCAACCAAGAGCCACCGUGAACCUCUGGGGCACUGAGCCUGGCCACCAGCACCCCCACCCCAGCCCAUAUGGCCUGGGCCUCUCCCUUGAUGUUUAAAGGAGAUGAUAAAAAUGCUGCAACCCAGAUAAUGAUCACCUUACUCUUCAAAAAUACUGCCCAAGGAAGGGAAGAUACACACAGAGGAGAAGGUGGUGUGAAGAUGGAAGCCAAGACUGUUGAUACCAGUUGGAGAGCACCAAGAACUACCCGCAGCCACUGAAAGCUAGGAGAGAGGCAUAGGACUGUCUCCUUCAGACCCUCCAGAAAGACCAAACCUGCCCGUGCCUUGAUUUCAGACUUUUGGCCUCCCACAUUGUGAGAGAAUAAAAUUUUGUUUUUGAAGCCAU